rnacentral:lncRNA from 1 species
UUUGAGUCUUAAAAAAAAGCUACACUUGUUAAAAGCUUAUGACACAGUUUAGCAUGUAAUGACUGAUCCGAAAUAUAAGCUGUUUUUAUUUACAGAUGGGCUCAAAUUCACAGGAAUAUCUCUGCAAUUGCAAAAUUACAGAGUCCUUCUUGCCUUCUCAGUGCAGUGGAAACAUUAAGGGUUGGGUGGAAGCCAGGGUGCUUGAGGACAAGGAGUUAAUUUAGACACAGUUCCCAUGAGAGGGACUGUGAGAUUAAAAAAAUAAUCCAUUUUAGAGUAUAAAAGAGCUGCUUCCAUAAGUGAUCAAGGCAGAAGGGCUGCCCUGGAUUUAUUCAUGUCUGUAUUGGAAGUGACGGCACAUGUGUGCUACCCUUAUGUAGCUACUGUGCUGGGCACACGUACCAAAUACACUUAGAAGGGGAAAUGAUAAAUCAUGAACAACUAUGAGCUUCUCCUUGAAUGGAACCAUGAGGGGGGAGAUCCCCCAAGCAAUUCAAACUCAAUUACUCUGUUCACCGAGUGUUUGAAAUAGAAACAAAUGAAGAAGGCAAUUGCAGAGGCAGGCAGCAUUCAUCAGUGCAGCUGGAUGCAUUUUGUCCUGAGCCACUGGUUAGAUUUUGUAAAACAAAAACAGGAGUAAAAAUAAUAAGAGUGACCCCUCACACUUGCAGAGCAUGUCAGAAUUAGCAAAGUCACCUGCUAGUCGUCAUCCCCUUGAGUUUUCCUGUAAAGCCCAAGUGGUUAAUUACAAUUGUCCAAUGGAGUGACUGGAUUUUAUACACAUCGAUGGUCUUCCCCAUUGUUACAGACUAUCAGCUGUCAGGCCUAGAGCCCAGUCUUUUGGGUCCUUGCUUAGGCUUAUUCCAGUGUAUUACCAGUGCUCCUAUCUAGUAAAGGUUUAUUUAGUAUAAAAUUAGGAAAUGGCUCAGCUUUUGUUCUUUCUCUUACAGAGAACAAUUCAAUAAUGAGAACAUCCUUGAGGAUCACAGAGUCCAGAGUCCCCAGAGAGAGAGACAGGAAUCAUGUCUUGUAGAUGAGAAGAACAAUCCAAUAACGAGAACAUCCUUGAGGAUCACAGAGUCCAGAGUCCCAGAGAGAGACAGAGCAAUCAUGGCUUGUAGAUGCAAGCAGCUCAACAUCUCAAGAUCUCAAGAUAGUACAUCUUCUUGACUUGGUCAUGUCUAGGCUCAUCUACAUGCUUUGAGAGGAAAAAGUGAAAAGCGAAGAAUCACUGUUGGCUGGUUCUGAUUCAUUAUUAAGUGUCUGUGAAUGUGUGUGUGUGUGUGUGUCUUUUUUUUAGGCAACAAUAUGAUAAUAUCAUAUUUUAUAUAAGAGAAUAAGCCUAUGGUCAUAGCAGUAUUAUUUAAAGAAAAACACACAGUAACAAAAGUGAUUUGGGGUUAUCUGGAGCUACAUUUUAGUUUGUGUGUGGUACAAUUAUAUGUGGAUUUGAUUUUGAUAAUCUAGCUUCUCCUGUCUAUAAAACUGCUAAAAUGUCAGGCCCUAUUUUGUAUUGGCCUUGUCCUGGUAGUUUAAGAUAAUGCUGAUUUCUAAGGGUAGCUGGUAGAAGUGAAGAAAUUAUAAGAGUAUUAGAUUUGUUGCUUAGUAUAUGCUCAGCCUCUUAGAUUACACAGUUGAGCUAAUCAUUAUAAUUUGUUGUGAGAAAAUAAAUAUUUUUCAACACCAAUCUGAUUCUUGAAUAAUCAGAAUAAUCAUCAAACCAAGGCUGGGCUAUUACAGUGACCUACUGUGCAUGUGUGUGGUUAAUCUACAGUCAGUAUUGCAUGAAGGCAACCUAGUGUAGCAAAAGGAAAUGGAGUUUGGAUUCCAACAUUUGGAGUCAAUCGAGUUACUUCCGUGUCUUACUACUUCUUUGAUUUGUGGUAUAUUAUGGCCUCUUUGGGUCAAGUUUUCUUAUUCUUAAAGCUGCAAUGAUAAU